AAGGGCAAUGAUGCAUAGCCGAGUUGAGAGACUGAUCGGCCACAUUGGGACUGAGACACGGCCAAAACUCUACGGGGAGGCAGCAGUAGGAAUCUUCCACAAUGGACGCAAGUCUGAUGGAGCAGCGCCGCGUGAGUGAAGAAGGGUUUCGGCUCGUAAAGCUCUGUUGGUAGUGAAGAAAGAUAGAGGUAGUAACUGGCCUUUAUUUGACGGUAAUUACUUAGAAGUCACGGCUAACUACGUGCCAGCAGCCGCGGUAAU
rnacentral:rRNA from 1 species